UGUAAGUAUUUAACCGCUAUUUUAUAGAGGAAGUUCCAUGCUUGCACAAGCUUAACUGCUUGUAGUGAUUCUGAUUGGGAUAAAUCCAAUACACCUUGGUUAGGUGAUGACAUCAAAUAUUCUCACGUAGAAUAGGCGACUAAAGUGCAACAGUGACGAGUUAUAUAGCGAUAUAUAAAUGAAACGGGCAAACUCCAGAAGCAAGAAACCUCAAGAUAAUCGAAUGAUAUGGUGGAGGGAGUGAGUGUAAGGGAAACUGCACACUCAACGGUAGCAAUACCGUAGAUAAAUGGUUAAUUAAAACAGAACGUGGGCUAUUCUU
rnacentral:RNase_P_RNA from 1 species